GCCGGUAGACAGGGCACUUGUUAGGGAGGUGAAAGAUCUGCACUCAAGUCCCUGCUCCAAAGCAGGAAUUUGGAGCUGAGUGUCUCACAUCCCAGAGCACUCAGUUACUGGAUGAAAUGCUCCCUCUGCUGGCAGAGAAGAGUGGCCAGUGGAACACUAGAUCCCAGUGCGGCUUCUCCACUGAAGUUAAUAGGAUUUCUCAACAUAGAGGAAGCAGAAAUGGAAUCUGGGACCAAACUGUGAUUGCCUUCAAAUGAGUGGUCCUAGGAGCAUAAAUUACCAAUCCAUGAAAAGUGAGAUUUUUUUACUUUUUGUCCUAAUUGAGGAUGGGGGAAAAAAAUGAAAUCUCAAACUCUCACUGGACAGGAAAACCAUUUCUCACCCACCUCUAGCCCUCAUUUUGCCUCCAGACAGCUCCACACUCUUACCACCUGGGCUUUUCCCAGGAGGCCCAGAGUCACAUGCUCAGAGGUCACUAUGAACAUGGCAUAAGUGCCUACAUAUUAGAGCACGUCAGAGAACCAAUUUUUUUCCAGGGUAAAUUCCACAGGAAAGA